rnacentral:rRNA from 1 species
CCUGCCCACUGAAUAUAUUUAAAUGGCCGCAGUAAUUUGACUGUGCAAAGGUAGCAUAAUCAUUAGUUUUUUAAUUAAAAGCUUGUAUGAAGGGUUGGACGAGAUAAAAUCUGUCUUUAUUUAAUUUAAAAUAGAAUUUAAUUUUUAAGUUAAAAAGCUUAAAUAUUAUUAAAAGACGAGAAGACCCUAUAAAUCUUUAUAUUAUAAAAUUUAAUUUUAUUUAGGUUUAUUUAUUUAUUUUUAUUUUUUAUAGUAUUUUAUUGGGGUAAUAAAUAGAUUAAAUAAAUUCUUUUUUUUUAUCUACAUUAAUUUAUGAAUCUUUGAUCCAAUAAUUUUGAUUAUAAGAUUAAGUUACUUUAGGGAUAACAGCGUAAUUUUUUUAUAGAGUUCUUAUCGAUAAAAAAGUUUGCGACCUCGAUGUUGGAUUAAAAAUUGUUC